AACGCACGAGACCUGCGGACCUGCGGAAGGAUCAUUAAUGAGAAGCUGCCCCUCGUGGGUAGACCUCCCACCCUCUGUGAACUUACCUUUGUUGCUUUGGCAGGCCCGUCCCCUGGACCGCCGGCUUCGGCUGGCCCGUGCCUGCCAGAGGAUUCCAAACCCUGUCUGUCAGUGUUGUCUGAGUCUAUAUGAAAUCGUUAAAACUUUCAACAAUGGAUCUCUAGAUCGGAAGAGCACACG
rnacentral:misc_RNA from 1 species